rnacentral:rRNA from 1 species
UACGUAGGGGGCUAGCGUUGUCCGGAAUCAUUGGGCGUAAAGAGCGUGUAGGCGGUCCGGUAAGUCCGCUGUGAAAGUCGGGGGCUCAACCCUCGAAUGCCGGUGGAUACUGUCGGGCUAGAGUGCGGAAGAGGCGAGUGGAAUUCCUGGUGUAGCGGUGAAAUGCGCAGAUAUCAGGAGGAACACCGGUGGCGAAGGCGGCUCUCUGGACCACAACUGACGCUGAGGCGCGAAAGCUAGGGGAGCAAACAGG